UCCGCUGUCGCAAACACCAGGACUCCGAGCGAUGAACCAUGUGGUGCUGCCUAGGUUUCGGAUCUUCCCCUUCUAUCUUCCAGAUCCGGUGGCAACUAGAAGGUAGGGAGAGGUAAGGUCAUCCGGCUCUCGCCCUUCUCCUCACUUUGUUUAUUCUCCACCAACGAACUCUGCUACGUAGGUGAUAAAUCCUGAUACCGAUUUUGCAGAUACGCGUUUGCAAUGACAGCAUGCUUGGUUUAGGUACUAUCUUCUACGGAUGCAUAAUAGUUAAAUGUAUGGAAGAAAAGUUCCCAGGCUUUUGCCACUGCUUCUUAAUCUAUACUAAAAAAGAAUGCUUGCAUGCUUUACUUCUAUAUUGAAACAAAUGAUUACACAUUGCUCGUAUCUACUUCUAUAUUGAAACAGAUGAUUCACAUUGCUCAUAUCUACUGCUAUCUUGAAAGAAACAAUUACACAAUGUUUGUGGUAUUGCAGGAACUUGGCACCGAUAAAAAUCUCUAUGCACUGGUUUUUGGGGAAUCAGUUUUAAAUGCGCUGGAUACAGAAACUUUUCUUUACUCAAUAUCUUUUUGAUAAAUUAAUAAAUUAGUUUCAGCUUACAUAACUCUUCAGUGACGAAAAGUCAACAUCUCUGAUGAUCACAUCCCUACUAGUGACAUGCUUACAUAACUCUUUUGCCCUUUUGUGGUCUGUUAAUUAAGGUGGCUAUAUCCUUAAUUAACUUGCUUCUUGUAGGGUCUGUUAAUGUUUUGUUGUAAGAUCUGUGGUCCUAAGAUAUUAGUUUGUGCAUAGCUUUUGAAUUAUCACUAUAAGUUAUUUAUGAUUUAACUGGCUUCUUGCAGGGUCUGAGAGGACUUUAUGCAGGUUUUUAUCCUACAGUUCUUGGAUCAACUGCAUCCUGGCUUACCAGACCGUAUGGGACUGAACUUUGAUCAAUCUUGUGUUUAAUCAAUUUAUUAUUUUCUUUGGCCGAAUUAAUUGACAACCUUAUUGUGGGAUUAAUUGGAUAUUAUGGUUCUUGGCCAUUCUGCCAUUUAGGUAAAAAGAAAUAGGUUUAUACUUUAAUCAAUUGUCCAUCUAUAUUAUAGAUAAGAAUUUAUGAUGAUAAAUAUGUUAUGAUGCACAUGUAUUCAUCAGUUACAAACAAUAAUAUUUCAAGCUAACAGAUUAUAUCAAAGAUAUGUUCAGAUGCUGACCAAUUUCUGUAACUUUAUUUUGAAAUACUAUACUUGUAGAAAUGGAUGGAUCACUGACUUUUUAAAUUUUCUAAGAUGCCAAAUCGAUAGAGAUUGAAGCUUUCUCAUGCACAAGGGAAUAGUUGUUUGCUUGUUGGUUGCCUUCUUUUCAUCAGUAAUGUGGUGUUAUAAGUGGCCCUAAUUCACCCUAUUUUGAAAUGCUUAAAAGAAUGUUAGAACAGAUGCUAGAUAUCUUUUCUGGGAGGAGUGCUCCUUUGGACAAUAUCAUGGCUAGGUAUGAGUGUAUGCGAGAAAUGUUGUUUCAAUAUCAUUUCUCAAAUUCUAUAUUCUUUGCGUAUUAGUUUAUAUUUGAUGAUUUCCUCAUGUCAAGUCCCAUAUCAUUCUCUCAUGUCCAUUUUAAUUAAUGGUUCAUUAUAUAUAUCAUAGUUCCAUGUUGCCACUCAUUUAUUUUGGUGACGCAUGUGCAUAUGUUUGCCUUCUACUUGGAGUUCCCAGAAGCUGAGUAUGUUGUUUGAGAUACAGUGCAUUUUUAACAUGCAGACAAUCUCGACCAGGUAGCACUGAUAUAAGCAGGGUGAGAUGUACUUCUGUUCUUGAACCUAUAAGCCUUCAAUUUUAUUUUUAGCAAUACAUGUAUGCUUAUGUGGUAUCAUUAUCCCUUUGGCAUGCAAAAUAAGCAGUGUCAUUGAUUAGGUUGAAUUCCAUCGCCUCUUUUCUGUCUCCAACUUUUGGAACCCUUCUUUUCAUUUUUGAAUUUUUACUUAUUUCUUUUGGUUUUUGUUCAAGAAUAGAUGUAAGCUUCUUCAAUAAUCAGAUUGUGUUUGUCACUGGCACAAAUGAAAAGCCAACAUAACAGGAAAUAGUAAAAUGUGUUCCUGCAGUGUGAUAUAGUGUAUAGGCACUUUGCCUGUUUGCCACAUUCCCCCUUUUCUAUGGUCUUGAAAUUUUCCAACUGCAGAACUGUGUCCUAGGUUGUGUGUAAACAUGAUUGGUGUAUUUGUUCCACCUAUGCUAAAAUAUUUAUAGCAUGUCAGGUUAAAGGAGCAUUGCAUGCUAUCCAUUCAGGUUAGGAUGAAAGAUCACUGGUUUGCAUGCUGAGGUUCUGCAAUCUGCCAUUAUACUAAUUCUCCUUCCCUUUGUAUUACAGUUUAACACAAAAUUUUGCAAGACGGAUGUUAGCAUAUGUAAAUAUUGGUUGAUGUGGUUUAAGCCGUGUGUCAGAGAAUGCUGAGACAACCUCAACAGGAUCAAAGGCACCUCAAUGGCGAUAAAAGGCUGCUCUUCAAAUACCCUUGUGCGGGCGAAUUAGUGUCACCUCUUAUCAGGUACAUCUUUAAUUAGUUCAUGCAUGGUGGGUAGUCAACAAAAUCACCAUUUAUUGACAUUAUAUUUGAAGCUUCAAAAUAAUGUGACUAAUUUGUUCAUUUCGGAAAUGAUCUGAUGCUCUAUUGUUCAGAGAAUAGCAAGUAGUUCAUUAAGAUCAUGGCUGCACACAUAUUCUAUUAUUGGUAGUCAAGUUCAGAGUGGGCCUACAUGAUUUGCGUAGAAUAAUCAAUUUAGUUAGAUAUGGCCACCAGCUCACCAAAGAGUUUGAGAUGUUGCUUGGAACAUCAUCAUACUCCAGAAUAUUCUAUUAGGUUUCUUUUCUUAUUCUUGCUUCUUUAUGCCACAAUAGUUCUGCAUUUUUUUUAUAAAAUUAACAGUUUUGUGAUAAUACGUAGGAUCCUGACAAGAUUUUUUUUUUAAAAAAGUGUUUAUUUGUUCACUGCGAAAUACCAAUUCAGGAUGAUACUUAUUCUCACUUUUCUUCUGGUGUUGCUUUGCAGCUGCUACAUUAUGGUUUAGUUCUAUUCUUGUUGCAAUAGGUCCAUAUCGACCUAAGUUACAAGAUAGCAGACAUCUAUCAUGGUGCACACUUUAGGAUUUAAUUUGAAUAUUAAUUUAAUUAAUAUAUAGUUUAAUGCUUUUUCGAAUUAAAAGCUAAUUACAUUUUUUUAAUUACGUGUGUGUCGCACGUGCGUCUACCAUGUAGCUCAAGCAAGCUAUUGGACUCCACUAUUCAGUUUGAUAAUACAUAUUUUGUAAUGCAGAGAUAUAUAUUUCAGUUAUGAGAAAUAAUUUCCCAGAAACAAUUUCUUGUGUGGUAUUUUACAUCUAUUUUCAGACGUGUGGGUAGGUCGCACCCAAAACACUUGUAGUGAUCCUAGACUUAAAGUAGAAAAUUGCCCUAAUACUGCUUAUUACCUCCUAAUUUCCUGGGUUUCAUAUAGUGAGUACUUUGCAGCUUGGAUUAUACUUCUUGGGUUUUGCACAUAUGGUUUGUUUUUGGAGGAAAGACUGGAAUGCUUCAAAGCUCUGAAGUGUAUAAUGUCAUAGCUGAGCAGGUCAAGGUCCCGAAAAGGUUCAGGACAUUGCAUCUCACUAUGGUACUAUAAGCCUGCAAAUGAUUAAUUUCGAGGAUCACAUGUGUUUAGUUUCAGAAUCAGUUUGAGCCCUCUAUCUAUUGAUUCUUUUAGUAUGAGUUGGAGCCCUCUAAUUAAUUCUUGAACUAAUUCUUUUUUCCACCAAGAACAUAGUAUAAUUAGAUAGUUGGAUUCACAAGAUCGGUUAGAACAACUACCAGCACUACAGCAGUUUCAUUGGAUGGGGAGGGAGCAACUGCUGGGCAGCAGUCAGCCGCCAACUCAUUGUAGCCAGCCUUCAUAAUCUAGAGAGUUGAGGCGACAUGGCCAACGUGGCACUAAGGCGGCAACAGAGGCCGGGUGGAGAGGACGAGGCCAUCAAGCGGGGGGGGGGGGG